CGCUUACCACUUUGUGAUUCAUGACUGGGGUGAAGUCGUAACAAGGUAACCGUAGGGGAACCUGCGGUUGGAUCACCUCCUUACCUGAAGAUACC
rnacentral:rRNA from 1 species